GACGAACGCUGGCGGCGUGCUUAACACAUGCAAGUCGUACGGUAAGGCCCUUUCGGGGGUACACGAGUGGCGAACGGGUGAGUAACACGUGAGUAACCUGCCCACAACUUUGGGAUAACGCUAGGAAACUGGUGCUAAUACUGGAUAUGUGCUCCUGCUGCAUGGUGGGGGUUGGAAAGCUCCGGCGGUUGUGGAUGGACUCGCGGCCUAUCAGCUUGUUGGUGGGGUAGUGGCCUACCAAGGCGGCGACGGGUAGCCGGCCUGAGAGGGUGACGGGCCACAUUGGGACGGGGAAACGGCCAGACUCCUACGGGAGGCAGCAGUGGGGAAUAUUGCACAAUGGGCGCAAGCCUGAUGCAGCAACGCCGCGUGCGGGAUGACGGCCUUCGGGUUGUAAACCGCUUUCAGCAGGGACGAAGCUUUUUGUGACGGUACCUGCAGAAGAAGCACCGGCUAACUACGUG
rnacentral:rRNA from 1 species